rnacentral:rRNA from 1 species
GACGUAGGGGCGCGAGCGUUGUCCGGAUUAUUGGGCGUAAAGAGCUCGUAGGCGGCUUGUCGCGUCGUCCGUGAAAACCCGGGGCUCAACCCCGGGCUUGCGGUCGAUACGGGCAGGCUAGAGUUCGGUAGGGGAGAUCGGAAUUCCUGGUGUAGCGGUGAAAUGCGCAGAUAAUCAGGAGGAACACCGGUGGCGAAGGCGGAUUCUCUGG